rnacentral:rRNA from 1 species
GACGAACGCUGGCGGCGUGCUUAACACAUGCAAGUCGAACGGAAAGGCCCAGCUUGUGUGGGGUGCUCGUGUGGCGAAGGGGUGUGACACAUGAGCGACACCCGCCCUUGACUGUGGGAAAUAUCGAGGAAACUGGGGAUUACACCGGAUAGGCGCUCCUGCCGUCUGGUGGGGGUUGGAAAGUUUCGGCGGUUUGGGAUGGACUAGCGGCUUAUCAGCUUGUUGGUGGGGUAGUGGCUUACCAAGGCGUUGACGGGUAGCCGGCCUGAGAGGGUGACCGGCCACAUUGGGACUGAGACACGGCCCAGACUCCUACGGGAGGCAGCAGUGGGGAAUAUUGCACAAUGGGCGGAAGCCUGAUGCAGCAACGCCGCGUGCGGGAUGACGGCCUUCGGGUUGUAAACCGCUUUCGCUAGUGACGAAGCGUGAGUGACGGUAACUGGUGAAAAAGCACCGGCUAACUACGUG